rnacentral:rRNA from 1 species
AACGAACGCUGGCGGCAGGCCUAACACAUGCAAGUCGAACGCGUCCUUCGGGACGAGUGGCAGACGGGUGAGUAACGCGUGGGAACGUACCCUUUGGUUCGGAACAACAGCGGGAAACUGCUGCUAAUACCGGAUAAGCCCUUCGGGGGAAAGGUUUAUCGCCAGAGGAUCGGCCCGCGUUAGAUUAGCUUGUUGGUGAGGUAAUGACUCACCAAGGCUACGAUCUAUAGCUGGUCUGAGAGGAUGAUCAGCCACACUGGGACUGAGACACGGCCCAGACUCUUACGGGAGGCAGCAGUGGGGAAUCUUGGACAAUGGGCGAAAGCCUGAUCCAGCCAUGCCGCGUGAAUGAUGAAGGCCCUAGGGUUGUAAAAUUCUUUCGACGGGGAAGAUAAUGACGGUACCCGUAGAAGAAGCUCCGGCUAACUUCGUGCCAGCAGCCGCAGUAA